rnacentral:rRNA from 1 species
AUGGGAGAGCCCAGCGACGGAGCUUCAUCGGCACCGGCUAGAGCCUUCGUGCUUCCCAUAGAUCUUGUUCAUGCUCCUCCGCCACAAGAAUGGAGGCCGGUUGUCAAGGUUGCAGAAUACAUACCCAAGGUUCCAGGCGAGCCAAAGAGAACAUUAUGGCGACUAAAUAGUUCAAAUAUCCGAAAGUACCAGGGUAUUAAGGCACCCUCGAUUGGUCUGCUCAACUCCGGUGUAGACUCCUCUAGCCCCCUCUCGGAUCUUGUUCAAGCUCCUCCACCAGAGGAGUGGAGGCCGGUCGUCAAGGUUGCGCAAUACAUGCCCAAGAUUCUAGGCGAGGCAAAACGAACAUUAUGGAGAGCAAAUAGUUCAAAUAUGUACAAAUAUCAGGGGUUUUCAUGGCCAAGGGUUGUUGGUCUCAAGGCACAUAAGGCUAAGAGGAUCAUCAGGAAAGGCAAACCGGAACUCCACUUCGAAGUCCUUCCAGAAAAUGCAAUGCGAGACUGCGUUAGUAGGAAUUUCCGUGUCACGCUAAUAGUGGAGAAACACAAUCGUGUCGUAGAAACUCCCCGUGUUUGUUAA